rnacentral:tRNA from 1 species
GCACCCUUAGCUCAGUUGGUAGAGCAACUGACUCUUAAUCAGUGGGUCUGGGGUUCGAGUCCCCAAGGGUGUACCA